rnacentral:rRNA from 1 species
ACUCAAAGGAAUUGACGGGGGCCCGCACAAGCGGUGGAGCAUGUGGUUUAAUUCGAUGCAACGCGAAGAACCUUACCUACCCUUGACAUCCUGAGGAUUUUGCAGAGAUGCGAAAGUGCCGCAAGGAACUUAGAGACAGGUGCUGCAUGGCUGUCGUCAGCUCGUGUUGUGAGAUGUUGGGUUAAGUCCCGUAACGAGCGCAACCCUUAUCCUUAGUUACCAACACGUAAUGGUGGGGACUCUAAGGAGACUGCUGGUGAAGAACCGGAGGAAGGCGAGGACGACGUCAAGUCAUCAUGGCCUUUAUGGGUAGGGCUACACACGUGCUACAAUGGGGAGUACAGAGGGAAGCGAACCUGCGAAGGGGAGCGAAUCCCGUAAAAUACCUCGUAGUCCGGAUUGGAGUCUGCAACUCGACUCCAUGAAGUUGGAAUCGCUAGUAAUCGCGAAUCAGAACGUCGCGGUGAAUACGUUCCCGGGCCUUGCACACACCGCCCGU